rnacentral:rRNA from 1 species
AGAGUUUGAUCAUGGCUCAGGACGAACGCUGGCGGCUUGCUUAACACAUGCAAGUCGAACGAUGACGCUGGAGCUUGCUCCGGUGGAUUAGUGGCGAACGGGUGAGUAACACGUGAGAAAUCUGCCCCUGACUCUGGGAUAACUGCGGGAAACUGUAGCUAAUACCGGAUACUUUCCCUGGUGGGCAUCCACUGGGGAAGAAAGAAUUUCGGUCAGGGAGGAUCUCGCGGCCUAUCAGCUAGUUGGUGAGGUAACGGCUCACCAAGGCGACGACGGGUAACCGGCCUGAAAGGGUGACCGGUCACACUGGGACUGAGACACGGCCCAGACUCCUACGGGAGGCAGCAGUGGGGAAUAUUGCACAAUGGGCGCAAGCCUGAUGCAGCAACGCCGCGUGAGGGAUGAAGGCCUUCGGGUUGUAAACCUCUUUUAGCAGGGAAGAAGCGAAAGUGACGGUACCUGCAGAAAAAGCACCGGCUAACUACGUGCCAGCAGCCGCGGUAAUACGUAGGGUGCAAGCGUUGUCCGGAAUUAUUGGGCGUAAAGAGCUCGUAGGCGGUUUGUCACGUCUGCUGUGAAAAUCCAAGGCUCAACCUUGGACUUGCAGUGGGUACGGGCAGGCUAGAGUGCGGUAGGGGAGAUGGGAAUUCCUGGUGUAGCGGUGGAAUGCGCAGAUAUCAGGAGGAACACCAAUGGCGAAGGCACAUCUCUGGGCCGUAACUGACGCUGAGGAGCGAAAGCGUGGGGAGCGAACAGGAUUAGAUACCCUGGUAGUCCACGCCGUAAACGGUGGGUGCUAGCUGUGGGCCACAUUCCACGUGGUCCGUGACGAAGUUAACACAUUAAGCACCCCGCCUGGGGAGUACGGCCGCAAGGCUAAAACUCAAAGGAAUUGACGGGGGCCCGCACAAGCGGCGGAGCAUGCGGAUUAAUUCGAUGCAACGCGAAGAACCUUACCAAGGCUUGACAUAUAGAGGAAAAGUGCAGAAAUGCACUCCCCGCAAGGUCUCUAUACAGGUGGUGCAUGGUUGUCGUCAGCUCGUGUCGUGAGAUGUUGGGUUAAGUCCCGCAACGAGCGCAACCCUCGUCCUAUGUUGCCAGCACGUAAUGGUGGGAACUCAUGGGAUACUGCCGGGGUCAACUCGGAGGAAGGUGGGGAUGACGUCAACAAAUCAUCAUGCCCCUUAUGUCUUGGGCUUCACGCAUGCUACAAUGGCCGGUACAGAGGGCUGCCAUACCCCAAGGUGGAGCGAAUCCCAAAAAGCCGGUCUCAGUUCGGAUUGCGGUCUGCAACUCGACCUCAUGAAGUCGGAGUCGCUAGUAAUCCUAGAUCAGCAACGCUACGGUGAAUACGUUCCCGGGCCUUGUACACACCGCCCGUCAAGUCACGAAACUCGAUAACACCCGAAGCCGGUGGCCUAACCGCAAGGAGGGAGCCGUCGAAGGUGGGAUUGGUGAUUGGGCCUAAGUCGUAACAAGGUA